rnacentral:rRNA from 1 species
AGCAGGCGCGUAAAUUGCCCGAAUCCUGACACAGGGUGGUAGUGACAAGAAAUAACAAUACAGGGCUACAUCUAGUCUUGUAAUUGGAAUGAGUACAAUUUACAUCUCUUCACGAGGAUCAAUUGGAGGGCAAGUCUGGUGCCAGCAGCCGCGGUAAUUCCAGCUCCAAUAGCGUAUAUUAAAGUUGUUGCAGUUAGAACGCUCGUAGUCGGAUUUCGGGGCGGGCCGACCGGUCUGCCGAUGGGUAUGCACUGGCCGGCGCGUCCUUCCUUCCGGAGACCGUGCCUACUCUUAACUGAGCGGGGGCGGGAGACGGAACGUUUACUUUGAAAAAAUCAGAGUGUUUCAAGCAGGCAGCUCGCUCUUGCAUGGAUUAGCAUGGGAUAGUGAAAUAGGACUUUGGUGCUAUUUUGUUGGUUUCGAACACCGAAGUAAUGAUGAGAAGGGACAGUCAGGGGCGCUCGUACUCCGCCGAGAGAGGUGAAAUUCUCAGACCAGCGGAAGACGAACCACUGCGAAAGCAUUUGCCAGGGAUGUUUUCACUGAUCAAGAACGAAAGUUAGGGGAUCGAAGACGAUCAGAUACCGUCGUAGUCUUAACCAUAAACCAUACCGACUAGGGAUUGGGGGAUGUUCACUGAUUGACUCUCUCAGCACCUUACGGGAAACUAAAGUCUUUGGGUUCCGGGGGGAGUAUGGUCGCAAGGCUGAAACUUAAAGGAAUUGACGGAAGGGCACCACCAGGUGUGGAGCCUGCGGCUUAAUUUGACUCAACACGGGGAAACUUACCAGGUCCAGACAUUGUGAGGAUUGACAGAUUGAGAGCUCUUUCUUGAUUUGAUGGGUGGUGGUGCAUGGCCGUUCCUAGUUGGUGGAGUGAUUUGUCUGGUUAAUUCCGUUAACGAACGAGACCUUAGCCUGCUAAAUAGUGACGCGAACACUUCGUUCGCGGGCCACUUCUUAGAGGGACAACUUGUCUUCAACAAGUGGAAGUUUGAGGCAAUAACAGGUCUGUGAUGCCCUUAGAUGUUCUGGGCCGAACGCGCGCUACACUGAUGCACUCAACGAGUCUCCACCUCGACCGAAAGGUCUGGGAAAUCUUUGAACUUGCAUCGUGAUGGGGAUAGAUUAUUGCAACUAUUAAUCUUCAACGAGGAAUACCUAGUAGGCGCAUGUCAUCAGCGCGCGUUGA